UACGUAGGGGGCGAGCGUUGUCCGGAAUUAUUGGGCGUAAAGAGCGUGUAGGCGGUUCGGUAAGUCUGCCGUGAAAUCCUGGGGCUCAACCCCGGGCGUGCGGUGGAUACUGCCGGGCUAGAGGGUGGUAGAGGCGAGUGGAAUUCCCGGUGUAGCGGUGAAAUGCGUAGAUAUUGGGAGGAACACCAGUGGCGAAGGCGGCUCACUGGACCGGAACUGACGCUGAGGCGCGAAAGCGUGGGGAGCAAACAGG
rnacentral:rRNA from 1 species